UCCAAUGUGGUGUAGUGGUCAACAUUGCUGUCUUUCAUGACAUUGUCUACAUAACACAGCAGCCCGGGGUUCGAUUCCCCGCAUUGGAA
rnacentral:tRNA from 1 species